CUGAGUGACCUUUGCAUGGGGAUGGGUCAGUGCUGACCACUGAGUGACCAUUGCAUGGGGGAGAGGUCAGUGCUGACCGUUGCUGACCGCUGAGUGACCACUGGGAUGGGGAGGGGUCAGUGCUGACCACCAGUGGUCACUCAGCACCUCGCUGACUACCAGUGGUCACUCAGCACCUCGCUGACCAUCAGUGGUCACUCCAGGCCUGACUGACCACCGGUGGUCACUCAGGGCCUCGCUGACCACCAGUGGUCACUCAGCACCUCACUGACCACCAGUGGUCACUCCAGGCCUGACUGACCACCGGUGGUCACUCAGGGCCUCGCUGACCACCGGUGUCCGGCACGGGUUCGAGGCCGUGGGCGUGGUCCGAGUGUCCGGCCGGACGUUGGCCAUGGAGGCGGCGCUGGAGGUGGCCGCAGUGGCCGGAGCCCAGGACGUGGUGGCCGAGGACGAGGACGGGGCCGAGCUCAAGUGGUCAUUGGUCACUUCCUGACUGUCCUUGCUGACCACUGACCACCCUCAAUGACCACUGACCAUCCCACUGACCACCCCAAUUACCACUGACCAAUGGCCACUGACCACCCCAAAUGACCACUUACUCCUCCCAAUGACCACUGACCACCCCAAUGACCAUUGAUCCUUCCAAAUGACCACUGACCAUCCCGACUGACCACUGACCACCCUCAAUGACCACUGACCAUCCCACUGACCAAUGACCACGGGGGGGGGGGGGGGGGGGGGGGGGGGGGGGGGGGGGGGGGGGGGGGGGGG
rnacentral:lncRNA from 12 species